rnacentral:rRNA from 1 species
UACGUAGGGGGCAAGCGUUGUCCGGAAUCAUUGGGCGUAAAGCGCGUGUAGGCGGCCCGAUAAGUCCGCUGUGAAAGUCCAGGGCUCAACCCUGGAAUGCCGGUGGAUACUGUCGGGCUCGAAUCCGGAAGAGGUGAGUGGAAUUCCUGGUGUAGCGGUGAAAUGCGCAGACAUCAGGAGGAACACCAAUGGCGAAGGCAGCUCACUGGGACGGUAUUGACGCUGAGACGCGAAAGCGUGGGGAGCAAACAGG